rnacentral:rRNA from 1 species
AGAAUCAACGCUGGCGGCGUGCCUAACACAUGCAAGUCGAACGAGAAAGUGGUAGCAAUACCAUGAGUAAAGUGGCGCACGGGUGAGUAACACGUGACUAACCUACCCUUGAGUGGGGGAUAACGUGAGGGAAACCUUAGCUAAUACCGCAUAAUACCCACGGGUCAAAGGAGCAAUUCGCUCGAGGAGGGGGUCGCGGCCGAUUAGUUAGUUGGCAGGGUAAUGGCCUACCAAGACGAUGAUCGGUA